rnacentral:rRNA from 1 species
GGGUAGCGAACAGGAUUAGAUACCCUGGUAGUCAUGCCGUAAACGAUGAGUGCUAAGUGUGGAGGGUUUCCCCCUUCAGUGCUGCAGCUAACGCAUUAAGCACUCCGCUUGGGGAGUACGACCGCAAGGUUGAAACUCAAAGGAAUUGACGGGGGCCCGCACAAGCGGUGGAGCAUGUGGUUUAAUUCGAAGCUACGCGAAGAACCUUACCAGGUCUUGACAUCUUCUGCCAAUCUUAGAGAUAAGACGUUCCCUUCGGGGACAGAAUGACAGGUGGUGCAUGGUUGUCGUCAGCUCGUGUCGUGAGAUGUUGGGUUAAGUCCCGCAACGAGCGCAACCCUUAUUAUCAGUUGCCAGCAUUCAGUUGGGCACUCUGGUGAGACUGCCGGUGACAAACCGGAGGAAGGUGGGGAUGACGUCAAAUCAUCAUGCCCCUUAUGACCUGGGCUACACACGUGCUACAAUGGACGGUACAACGAGUCGCGAAGUCGUGAGGCUAAGCUAAUCUCUUAAAGCCGUUCUCAGUUCGGAUUGUAGGCUGCAACUCGCCUACAUGAAGUUGGAAUCGCUAGUAAUCGCGGAUCAGCAUGCCGCGGUGAAUACGUUCCCGGGCCUUGUACACACCGCCCGUCACACCAUGAGAGUUUGUAACACCCAAAGCCGGUGAGAUAACCUUCGGGAGUCAGCCGUCUAAGGUGGGACAGAUGAUUAGGGUGAAGUCGUAACAAGGUAACCA